AUUGAACGCUGGCGGCAGGCCUAACACAUGCAAGUCGAACGGUAACAGGAAGCAGCUUGCUGCUUUGCUGACGAGUGGCGGACGGGUGAGUAAUGUCUGGGAAACUGCCCGAUGGAGGGGGAUAACUACUGGAAACGGUAGCUAAUACCGCAUAACGUCGCAAGACCAAAGAGGGGGACCUUAGGGCCUCUUGCCAUCGGAUGUGCCCAGAUGGGAUUAGCUAGUAGGUGGGGUAACGGGUCACCUAGGCGACGAUCCCUAGCUGGUCUGAGAGGAUGACCAGCCACACUGGAACUGAGACACGGUCCAGACUCCUACGGGAGGCAGCAGUGGGGAAUAUUGCACAAUGGGCGCAAGCCUGAUGCAGCCAUGCCGCGUGUAUGAAGAAGGCCUUCGGGUUGUAAAGUACUUUCAUCGGGGAGGAAGGGAGUAAAGUUAAUACCUUUGCUCAUUGACGUUACCCGCAGAAGAAGCACCGGCUAACUCCGUG
rnacentral:rRNA from 1 species